rnacentral:rRNA from 1 species
GCGAACGCUGGCGGUAGGCCUAACACAUGCAAGUCGAACGGCAGCACAGUAAGAGCUUGCUCUUACGGGUGGCGAGUGGCGGACGGGUGAGGAAUACAUCGGAAUCUACUUUUUCGUGGGGGAUAACGUAGGGAAACUUACGCUAAUACCGCAUACGACCUACGGGUGAAAGCAGGGGAUCUUCGGACCUUGCGCGAUUGAAUGAGCCGAUGUCGGAUUAGCUAGUUGGCGGGGUAAAGGCCCACCAAGGCGACGAUCCGUAGCUGGUCUGAGAGGAUGAUCAGCCACACUGGAACUGAGACACGGUCCAGACUCCUACGGGAGGCAGCAGUGGGGAAUAUUGGACAAUGGGCGCAAGCCUGAUCCAGCCAUACCGCGUGGGUGAAGAAGGCCUUCGGGUUGUAAAGCCCUUUUGUUGGGAAAGAAAAGCAGCAGGUUAAUACCCCGCCGUUCUGACGGUACCCAAAGAAUAAGCACCGGCUAACUUCGUG